AUAGAUGCACACACAACAGAGAAGAGACUAAAAAGAAGAGAGAGAAGACAGAGACAGAGACACCUACAUUCAUAAAAAGGAGACACAGUAGUAGUUGUACACUCAUUUCUAACACACGCACAGUACAGGAGUUUCGUGUUCACUUUUUUUGUCUCUUCUUUUUUU
rnacentral:ribozyme from 14 species